UUCUUCAUGCUAUCAAUUCUUUUUACUGAACCUGCUUCAAUUCUGAAAUUCUAUUUUUGCUGUUAGCUUUGUUUUUUAAAUACUAAUAAAUGGCAAUAGAUUUGUAUAUGGUAUUACAAUUUACAGUAAUAAAUGUUCUCAUAUAUGUGUCUGUGAAUAACAUUUUGUAGAUAAGAUACCCACAUCAGAAUCAAGACAAAAAGAAGAUACAGAAUCUUCAGAUUCUGAGAUUAUCUCUGUGAGUGAUACACAGAAUUAUGUGUGUUUAACUGAGGCUACAUAUCAAAAAGAAAUAAAGACAAUAAAUGGCAAAAUAGAAGGUAAGAACCAUUUCUUAUUUAAAACAUCAUUUGACCAAUUAUUUGUCUAAAAGCAUGAGGACUGAUAUACUCUGACAGCCAAAGAAAAUUAUUUUUUAAAUGUGUAGCAUGGAAGGACAAAAGGAGUGAAAGUUACAUGUCUUCUCAGGUGUUGGCAACAGAUUAU
rnacentral:lncRNA from 1 species